GAUGAAGAACGUAGUGAAAUGCGAUACGUAAUGUGAAUUGCAGAAUUCAGUGAAUCAUCGAAUCUUUGAACGCAUAUUGCGCUCUCUGGUAUUCCGGAGAGCAUGCUUGUUUGAGUAUCAGUAAACACCUCAACUUCCAUAUCUUUUUUGAAAUGGGAGUUGGACUUGAGUGAUCCCAACGCUUUUCCUCACCGAAAAGUGGCGGGUUACUUGAAAUGCAGGUGCAGCUGGACUUUUCUCUGAGCUAUAAGCAUAUCUAUUUAGUCUGCCUAAAAAACAGAUUAUUACCUUUGCUGCAGCUAACAUAAAGGAGAUUAGUUCUUGUGCUGACUGAUGCAGGAUUCACAAAGACGGCUUCGGCCGACUUUGUAAACUCGAUCUCAAAUCAAGUAAGACUACCCGCUGAACUUAAGCAUAUCAUAAGCGAGGA
rnacentral:misc_RNA from 1 species